GAUGAACGCUAGCUACAGGCUUAACACAUGCAAGUCGAGGGGCAGCAUUAUCGAAGCUUGCUUUGGUAGAUGGCGACCGGCGCACGGGUGAGUAACGCGUAUCCAACCUGGCCCAUAGUAGGGAAUAGCCCGGCGAAAGUCGGAUUAAUGCCCUAUGUUCUCCUUUGAUGGCAUCUGACGAGGAGCAAAGAUUCAUCGCUAUGGGAUGGGGAUGCGUCUGAUUAGGUUGUUGGCGGGGUAACGGCCCACCAAGCCAUCGAUCAGUAGGGGUUCUGAGAGGAAGGUCCCCCACAUUGGUACUGAGACACGGACCAAACUCC
rnacentral:rRNA from 1 species